AGGCGGGGGCCGCGGCGGACGAGGGUCUGGUGCGGAAAUGCACCGAGUGGCUGCGCGGCGUGGAGAGCGCGGCCGGCCGCGACCACCCCGAACGGCUGGAGACGCUGCCGCACUUGGGCACCCUCUGAGCCCCGCCAGGACCGGGGAGCGGCACGGCGGGGGCUAGAGGAGCUGUCGGACCGGGGGGAGGUGGGGCCGCCAUCCGCGAUGUCGUGUUCCGUGUGCUGUUGUCGGCGCCAGAGCAGCGGAGCCCCUGGCCCGGAGCCGAUCCUCGGGGCGCCGCCGCCGCCGCCGGGGCGAGGGACAAAGGAGCGGCGUCGGCCUCCGCCCGCCGGUGCCCGGGUGCUGGGAGGGAGGGCACCGGCUGUGGGCGUCCUGCCUCCACCCUCGCGGUUUUUCUAAAGAUUUCUGACUACUUUAUAGAAUGUGCGUAAUGGUUUUGUAUAUUUGUAUAUAAAAGUUCAUUUUUAUUUAUUUGAAUAAAGGACUCUUGUGUUGCGGUAGCCUUUGCGCCUUGAUAGCUUCGCGUUGGGCCGUCCCAGCCUGGCGGUGUCCCUAUCUCGGUGUCCACAAGGUAAGGAUGGCGGGCUGGUCACCGUGCGAAGAGCCUGUGCCGUUCACACGUUUGCUCCUCUAACAGUCGCCGACAUCUCGGCUCCGGGGAGAACGCAGAGCCGCGGAUUCGGCGAGGCGGCGCAGGCAGGGUACCGAGCGGGCGGGGGCCAGCCCGUCGCUGCCGGGGCAGAUGGCAGCAGUGCCGGCCACCGCGCCAGCGGGGAGCAGCCCUCCCGGGGAGAGACAGGGACAACGGGAGGAGGAUGGGGCAGUGCGGGCGGCCGCGGCGUGGGCAGAGGUUGCUCCAGUCCCCUGUGCCGGGGAACCGGAGACGAGCGGCUGGGUCUUGGCGAUUUCAUCCCCGCCCAGGCAGUAAUUCAGAUACAUCCGAUCUUUCGAGCUGCUGUCAAUGUACGAGGUGGAAUAGGAAGGAAGGAGGGAGGGAGCUCAGAGCAGCAUCCUUUGUCAGCGUCCCCCGGCCUCCCAUCCCCGGGGCCCGCUGCAGCCUUCUCUGCUCCGGGCUAUGGCCAUGUCUGGUGCUCCUUAGAGCUCUGUGUGUUGGGAGAGGCGAGGAGGGGACGGGAGAGGCCAAGUGUACAAAAAUUACGGGCGGAAAGGGAAGGACCAUGGGGAAAAAGCUGUGA
rnacentral:lncRNA from 13 species